rnacentral:lncRNA from 1 species
GAAAGUGGCUGAACUCAGCCCUAUUUUGGAGCUGAAGAAACUGAGGCUUGGAAUAGAAGUGCUCAAGAUCAUGCCCAAGUCUCUCUCCACUCCCUGGGACUCCUCUGAAAAGUACCAUGAAGUCUCAGUGCAGAAGUGGGAAUUCCUUUCCUUUCUCUUCUCCUAGUCUGGCUCUUCCCCUGUGUGUUGGAGUUUCCCAUAAUGCACCAGUAUGUGAGCUGAUUGGAGUUACUGCACUAAGCAACCUUUUAAUAUUUUGAAAGCUCUGUAUCAGUUUUAAUAAAUUCUGGUGCAUGAAACUGGUUUUCCAUUUACAAUAAUAAUAUAUGCUCUUUCAAAAUAAAUGCAUUAAAUUUAUAACAAAAAGCAAAUCAAUUUACAGUAACAUUUUUAGUAAGGAAUAGAAGGGUAGGUGUGCAGAUAUGACCAAACAGGUGAGACCACUGCUUCCUGCCACCCCCAGCCUCAUUCUUAGCCCACAGCCAACUGAGAACUGGUGAUUCCCCAUCUCUUAGGAAGGCUGCUAGACUCAUGCAAGUCAUUUGUAGGAGCUGUGCAAUUUGUCAUCCAUUCUGAACAUUUUUGAGAAUGAAAGGGAGCACGUUCAAUAAUUUUCCUGGGACCACAGUUGUAACCUGGGACUUAUAGGUGAGGCAGAUCCUGCUGCUUGCCCAUGAUCGCGGGGCUAGAAACUGGCAGAGCUGGGACUUGAACUCGGAGACCCUUUGCUCCAGGGUCCCUGCUGUUACCCUCAUCCUGCAUGAGGCCUCUGUCGGAGAGUCAUGGUGCCCAAGUGCUGAUGUGCAGGCAGCCCAGAGGGUGCUGAGUCUCUGAUUGCUCAGGUGUUACGAAAAACACCCUGUGCUUAGACUAAAUAGUGUACAUAAAGCAAAUAAUGCUUAUCAUUCUUCUUCAUCUCCUUGCCCUUUUAACAUUUUUCCCUGUCCAAGCCCUUUUGAAAGACUGAUGUGUUCUCCAAGCCAGUUUUCUAGGUCCCCUGAAUCUUGGUGGUCUGUGUGCUGUGUGGGGCAUGUGCUACCUAUGCUAUGUGCCUGGCCAAAGGCAGGCAUGGCAGUGGUGCCCAUCUCAGGUCCAAGUGAGCGACUGGGACCCACUGCAGGGCUUCCUCUUUGCAGGCCCAGGCCUGGAAUGCAGUCCUUCUGGGCAUGAUGUCAUCAAUGGUAGCUUUGGGCCAAGAAAGAGACAAAGGUAGAGAAAUAGGGGACCAGCUUCCAUUUAGUCCUAAGAACUCAGGACACCUGGUAUCCUCAGGGUGAU